rnacentral:misc_RNA from 1 species
AUUUUUUUCCAUUGCACUUUACAUUGUAUACUAGUUUGAUGACAAUGUUUUUGAAAAAAUUAAAAAUGUUCCAGUGGUUCUUGCGAGAUUUAACUGGAAUGCUUGGAGGUGUCUUGUUCACUUGUUACCAGGUCUUGUUCUUUUCUGUCCGGUAUAGUUUUCCAGUAUUGUAUUGAUCCUAUGGUACCAAAUAAUGCAUGUCUUGAUUCCUUUAAAAACUGAAGCUACAGAAGCAUCUCAUUUCUUCGAGGAUGAACGAUUUCUCAUCAGACUUGCACUCUUAACAUUUCAUUCACCGUCUCUACAUGAAAUAUA